rnacentral:snRNA from 1 species
AUCGCUUCUUUUUUGGCUAAGAUCAAGUGUAGUAUUUGUUCUUAUCAGUUUAAUAUCUUAUAUGUCCUCUAUUUGAGGACUAUAUAUUAAAUGGAUUUUUGGAUUUUUGGUAUUGCAGUACCUCCAGGAACGGUGCAAAAAAAA